GACAAAUUUCGCGAGACCUUUAUUAAGGGCCUUCAGCAAAGUGAUGAUACCGCGAGAGCUGACAUGUGACGUAAUUAAAACGCGCGAACGGAAGUGGCGCAGAGCACGAUGGAAUCUCAGUACGGUUGGUCCUUUAGGAACCAGCGGGAAAGAUAAAAGCUACAGUUUCAGCCUUGCUGGGUGAAGACAGGAGUAGACAGGCUCUGGAGUAAAUCAAUUAUGAUUCUCACAAGCACCUAGCUCAGUAUAUUUCCAAGCUACUACUCCUAAGAGAAUGAAGUUGGCCUAGUUGAAUUUGAUGAGGUUCACUAUUAUGUGACCAAGAAGGACAUAAUAAAUCAUGGCAUUUGAAGAACAUCCUGAGUUCAAAGGUGAAAUGCUGGGCUGGAUAAAUCACAAGCUGGAAUCAAGAUUGCUGUAUCUGAAAGGAGCUAGAGAGCCUCUUUUGGAGAAGGCAAUGGCAACCCACUCCAGUACCCUUGCCUGGAAAAUCCUGUGGAUGGAGCAGCCUGGUAAGCUGCAGCCCAUGGGGUAACGAAGAGUCAGACACGACUGAACAACUUCACUUUCACUUUUCACUUUCAUGCAUUAGAGAAGGAAAUGGCAACCCACUCCAGUGUUCUUGCCUUGAGAAUCCUGGGGACAGUGGAGCUUGGUGGGCUGCCGUCUAUGGCGUCGCACAGAGUCGAACUUGACUGAAGCAACUUAGCAGCAGCAGCAGCAGAGAGCCUCUUGCUGAGGGUGAAAGAGGAGAGUGAAAAAGUUGGCUUGAAAAUCAACACUCAAAAAACUAAGAUCAUGGUAUCUUGUCUCAUUACUUCAUGGCAAAUAGAAGGGGGAAAAGUGGAAGCAGUGACAGACUUUAUUUUCUUGAGCUCCCAAAUCACUGCAGAUGGUGACUGCAGCCAUGAAAUUAAAAGACACUUGCUCCUUGGAGGAAAAGCUGUGAUAAACCUGGACAGUGUAUUAAAAAGCAGAGACAUUACCUUGGCGACAAAGGUCCAGAUAGCCAAAGCUAUGGUUUUUUCCAGUCAGUUCAGUUCAGUCCCUCAGUCAUGUCCCAUGGACUGCAACACCCAUGGACUGCAGCAUGCCGGGCCUCCUUGUCCAUCACCAAUUCCCUGAGUUUACUCAAACUCAUGUCCAUUGAGUCGGUGAUGCCAUCCAAUAGUCAUGUACAAAUGUGAGCGUUGGACCAUAAAGAAGGUUGAGGAUAGAAGAUUUGAUGCUUUCAAACUGUGGUGCUGGAGGAGAGUCUUGAGAGUCCCUUGGACUGCAAGGAGAUCAAACCAGUCCAUCUUUAAGGAAAUCAACCCUGAAUUGAAAGGACUGAUGCUGAAGCUGUGGCUCCAGUACUUUGACCACCUGAUGCAUAAAGCCUGCUCAUUGGAAAAGACCCUGAUGCUGGGAAAGAUUGAAGGCAGAAGGAGAAGACAACAGAGGAUGAUAGAAAGCAUCACUGACUCAAUGGACGUGAAUCCGAGCAAACUCCAGGAGAGAGUGGAGGACAGGGGAGCCUGGCAUGAUGCAGUCCAUGGGGUCACAAAGACUUGGACAUGACUUAGCCACUGAACAACUAAAGAACCAAAACUCUGAUUUUAAAUUUUAAUCCCUUUCCCCCUAAUUCUCUGCAUCUUUAAUUUCUACUUUUAUUUUUAUCUCCAUUUUUAGUGCUUGC
ensembl:lncRNA